UACGUAGGGACCAAGCGUUGUUCGGAUUUACUGGGCGUAAAGGGCGCGUAGGCGGCAAUUCAAGUCAUCUGUGAAAUCUCCGGGCUUAACUCGGAAUGGUCAGGUGAUACUGCUUUGCUAGAGUGCAGAAGGGGCAAUCGGAAUUCUUGGUGUAGCGGUGAAAUGCGUAGAUAUCAAGAGGAACACCAGUGGCGAAGGCGAGUCCCUGGACAACUCCUGACACUGAGGCACGAAAGCUAGGGGAGCAAACAGG
rnacentral:rRNA from 1 species